GUUGGUAUGGCUCAACAGGGAAGGCACUCACCUCACAAGUUUGAGGGUCUGAGUUCAAUCCCCAGUACCUAUG
rnacentral:tRNA from 1 species